rnacentral:rRNA from 1 species
CUAGCCGUAAACGAUGGAUACUAGGCGUUGCGUGUAUCGACCCAUGCAGUGCCGUAGCUAACGCGUUAAGUAUCCCGCCUGGGGAGUACGCACGCAAGUGUGAAACUCAAAGGAAUUGACGGGGGCCCGCACAAGCGGUGGAGUAUGUGGUUUAAUUCGAUGCAACGCGAAGAACCUUACCAGGGCUUGACAUGUCCGGAAUCUUCUGGAAACAGAAGAGUGCCUGCGGGAACCGGAACACAGGUGG